rnacentral:lncRNA from 1 species
ACCCGGAGUUCGCUGGGAGAAAAACUUGGUGGGGAGACGCCCUUCCCCCCCUACGCGGGACGGGAAGGAUGCAACCUGCUGGAGGAACGCGUGUAAUGCGGUGGUAAUCGCGCUGCACCACCCUAGCACUUAAUAAUUGCCUGUUAAAUGGAUGAGUGAAUUAAUUUCUAUAGUGUUACAAUACUUUCACACCCAUCGUCUGACUCCUUCCGACAGCACAGCGAGGCAGGUACGGAUCAUUCCCAUUUUGCAGAUUACUGGUGUUUCCUCAAGUGACCACUUGUGUCAUAAAAACUUGGAAAAUGGACUGACAUGCAGAUCCGUGGGCCACUCUCCAGCCCCACUGAAUCAGACACUUUGAGGUGGAUUUCAGACAGGGUCUCACUCUCUAACCCGGGCUGGAGUGCAGUG